GGGGGUAUGGCGAAAUCGGUAGACGCUACGGACUUGAAAAAUCCGUUGGCUUUAUAGACCGUGAGGGUUCGAAUCCCUCUACCCCCA
rnacentral:tRNA from 1 species